AUAAUUGGCGAGCGAAAUAUCCGUCGGCCAGUAGUCGAUGCGGAACAGUGCCGU
rnacentral:sRNA from 1 species